rnacentral:tRNA from 2 species
GCCCCUGAAGGAUAGCAGCUUAUCCGUUGGUCUUAGGAACCAAAAACUCUUGGUGCAAGUCCAAGCGAGGGCU